rnacentral:ncRNA from 1 species
CAAAGGCAUGGUCCUGACCUUACUGUCCACUUUUGCCCAACUUACACAUGCAAGUAUCCGCACCCCCGUGAGUACGCCCUCGGUCCCCCGCCCGGGGACCAGGAGCGGGCAUCAGGCGCACUUAAAUUUUAGCCCAAGACGCCCAGCCAAGCCACACCCCUAAGGGAAUUCAGCAGUGAUAGACAUUAAGCCAUGAGUGAAAACUCGACUUAGUCAGGGCUUAGCCGGGCCGGUAAAACUCGUGCCAGCCACCGCGGUUAGACGAGGGGCCCCAGUUGACAGUGGUACGGCGUAAAGGGUGGUUAAGGACAACAAUUAAUAAAGCUGAAUAGCCCCCCGGCCGUCAUACGCUUCUGGGCGCUGGAAACCCAACAUGCGAAAGUGGCUUUAAUAGCCUCACCUGAACCCACGAAAGCUGAGAAACAAACUGGGAUUAGAUACCCCACUAUGCUCAGCUGUAAACCUAGACAUUUGAAUACAGCCACAUGUCCGCCAGGGUACUACGAGCAUUAGCUUAAAACCCAAAGGACCUGACGGUGCCUCAGACCCCCCUAGAGGAGCCUGUUCUAGAACCGAUAAUCCCCGUUAAACCUCACCACUUCUGGCCAUCCCAGCCUAUAUACCGCCGUCGCCAGCUUACCCUGUGAAGGUAAUAAGAGUAAGCAGAAUGGACAAAAUCCAAAACGUCAGGUCGAGGUGUAGCGCACGGAGUGGGAAGAAAUGGGCUACAUUUUCUUAAGCAGAAUACUACGGACGCGCAACAUGAAAUAGUGCCUGAAGGAGGAUUUAGUAGUAAAAAGGAAAGAGAGUGUCCUUUUGAACCCGGCUCUGAGACGCGUACACACCGCCCGUCACUCUCCCCUGUCGAAAUGCAAUAUAGAUAACUAAUACCAACGCACUGACAAGGGGAGGCAAGUCGUAACAUGGUAAGUGUACCGGAAGGUGCACUUGGAUAAACC